rnacentral:rRNA from 1 species
UACAGGGGGUGCAAACGUUGCUCGGAAUCAUUGGGCGUAAAGCGCACGUAGGCGGUCUGUUAUGUCGGAUGUGGAAAUCCCCAAGCUUAACUUGGGAACUGCAUCCGAUACUGGAUGGCUUGAAUCCGGGAGAGGGAUGCAGAAUUCCAGGUGUAGCGGUGAAAUGCGUAGAUAUCUGGAGGAAUACCGGUGGCGAAGGCGGCAUCCUGGACCGGCAUUGACGCUGAGGAGCGAAAGCUAGGGGAGCAAAGCGGG